rnacentral:rRNA from 1 species
AGGACGAACGCUGGCGGCGUGCUUAACACAUGCAAGUCGAGCGAGGCCCUUCCUUCGGGAAGGUGCCCUAGCGGCGAACGGGUGAGUAACACGUGGGCAACCUGCCCCUAGCACUGGGAUAACUCCGGGAAACCGGGGCUAAUACCGGAUAUGACCUCUGAGGGCAUCCUCUAAGGUGUAAAGGAUUCUGGCUAGGGAUGGGCCCGCGGCCUAUCAGCUUGUUGGUGGGGUAAUGGCCUACCAAGGCGACGACGGGUA